rnacentral:rRNA from 1 species
AGUGAACGCUGGCGGUAGGCCUAACACAUGCAAGUCGAACGGCAGCACAGUAAGAGCUUGCUCUUACGGGUGGCGAGUGGCGGACGGGUGAGGAAUACAUCGGAAUCUACUUUUUCGUGGGGGAUAACGUAGGGAAACUUACGCUAAUACCGCAUACGACCUACGGGUGAGAGCAGGGGAUCUUCGGACCUUGCGCGAUUGAAUGAGCCGAUGUCGGAUUAGCUAGUUGGCGGGGUAAAGGCCCACCAAGGCGACGAUCCGUAGCUGGUCUGAGAGGAUGAUCAGCCACACUGGAACUGAGACACGGUCCAGACUCCUACGGGAGGCAGCAGUGGGGAAUAUUGGACAAUGGGCGCAAGCCUGAUCCAGCCAUACCGCGUGGGUGAAGAAGGCCUUCGGGUUGUAAAGCCCUUUUGUUGGGAAAGAAAAGCAGCAGGUUAAUACCCCGCUGUUCUGACGGUACCCAAAGAAUAAGCACCGGCGAACUUCGU